rnacentral:rRNA from 1 species
CGUACACUCCUACGGGAGGCAGCAGUGGGGAAUAUUGGACAAUGGGCGCAAGCCUGAUCCAGCCAUGCCGCGUGAGUGAUGAAGGCCCUAGGGUUGUAAAGCUCUUUCACCGGUGAAGAUAAUGACGGUAACCGGAGAAGAAGCCCCGGCUAACUUCGUGCCAGCAGCCGCGGUAAUACGAAGGGGGCUAGCGUUGUUCGGAUUUACUGGGCGUAAAGCGCACGUAGGCGGACUAUUAAGUCAGGGGUGAAAUCCCGGGGCUCAACCCCGGAACUGCCUUUGAUACUGGUAGUCUUGAGUUCGAGAGAGGUGAGUGGAAUUCCGAGUGUAGAGGUGAAAUUCGUAGAUAUUCGGAGGAACACCAGUGGCGAAGGCGACUCACUGGCUCGAUACUGACGCUGAGGUGCGAAAGCGUGGGGAGCAAACAGGAUUAGAAACCCUAGUAGUCCC